AAUAAGAACAUUUUUCAGUUUUUUAUAUAAUGUUUUGAUUCUUCGUCUUAUUUGAAGUUUUUUUUAUUAAUAAUUUUAUUCUUACUAGAUGAUAAAACAUGAAUACUACUAUAUAUGUAACUAAUUUUUUAAUUCUAUGUAUAAAUUUUUUAAAUAAGACGAAUGAUCAAACAUUAGAUAUGGAAAAAC
rnacentral:pre_miRNA from 1 species